UUUGGUUGAACUGGAGAUGCAGAAAAUACAUCUCCAAAAAGUGAGUCAGAGGAAAACCCAUUUCCUGAUACGACCAAUGAUUUGGAAUCUGGAGCUUGGGGCUUUGGCGCAGUGGCUGGUGUCUGUGCAGAGGUUCCCAGUGGUCUAGGUUGAACAGAGGGGGCCACACUUGAAGCUGGCAGGCCAAAUCCAUCCAGCAUGGAGGAAGCACUAAUCCCUCUGUCAGAAACUUGUGAAGUGGUUCCCGCUAAAGGACUGCCUGCCCUUCCACCAGAGGUUAUUGGUGGUCUAGGUUGAACAGAGGGAGCCAAACUUGAAGCUGGCAGACCAAAUCCCUCCUGAGGUAAGGAAGGACUACUCCCUCUGUUAGGUAGUUGUGUGGUGCUGCCUGCUAAAGGACUAACUGUACUUCCACCAAGCCAAUCAGUUGACACGUUUGAA
rnacentral:lncRNA from 1 species